AUGCCGUGCCAGGCAGCGAAUGCUUGUGUGCAUCAGGCACCUGGAGGUUAAGGGUCUCAUUCAGGCCUUUGUUCCUUUAUUUUACUCCUGCCACUGUCGCUGCUGAUGGUAAACAGCUCCAAAAGGCUUCUCCUCCUCCUUGACCUGCAGUUUGAUUUACAACUCCAAGGAAAACAACGUUAACUUGUCUGCACGCCCUGCCCACCUCUCCCUCUUUGUUCGUUGGAUGGAAGGGAACAAGAGAUGCAGAGUCAGAUUACCUGAGCUGAUCUGUCAUAUUCACAGAGAGCGAGUGUUGGGACUGGUUUUUAACAAACCAUUCACAGCGGGCCCUCGCUUUCUGCUUACGUCACAAUGACUCAGGCUCUUCCGGCUAUUUGUUGGAAUACCGACUGGAUCAAUGAGAAGCAAAGAGAGGAAGCUGGAAAACAAGACUGAACGGAUAUUUUUCUAUCCCAAAGCUAUAAAUGACCCGAUUACAUGUUUAUGCAUUUGUAUUUUUAUGUUUUCUACUGGCAAACUUUUCUUCUUCAAUAGAAAUCUAUAUCUCGACACCAGAAAAGGAAACGUAAUUAAGACCCUCAUACUUGUAAUAAUAGCAUUAAAACAUGUUACAGAAACCGUCUUAUAAGAUUUCUAGGGUCAGAGGUUGACUGGAAGUGAUUAAUGUUGUUUUUUUUGGAAAAACACAAAAUUUUACCAAGUAUUUUUAGUCUA